GCUCAAGAGCGGACGGCUGUUCGGGUACCUGGCCCGCCGUCCCGGCAACCGCGCAUCCACCGCACGGUGCCCCAGGGGAAGAGCCGGCACGUGACCCGUGCAAGUGGUGGAC
rfam:Mycobacterium palustre strain DSM 44572 contig_84, whole genome shotgun sequence.